GUGCUUGCUUCGGCAGCCGGGAUACUAAAACUGUGACGAUUCCAGAGAAGAUUAGCAUGGGCCCUGAGCAAAGCUGACAUGGAAAUUCAUGAGGGUUUCCAUAUUUGA
ensembl:snRNA U6 U6 spliceosomal RNA